UGGGCAAUAUUGGACAAUGGGCGAAAGCCUGAUCCAGCCAUGCCGCGUGUGUGAAGAAGGUCUUCGGAUUGUAAAGCACUUUAAGUUGGGAGGAAGGGCAUUAACCUAAUACGUUAGUGUUUUGACGUUACCGACAGAAUAAGCACCGGCUAACUCUGUGCCAGCAGCCGCGGUAAUACAGAGGGUGCAAGCGUUAAUCGGAAUUACUGGGCGUAAAGCGCGCGUAGGUGGUUUGUUAAGUUGGAUGUGAAAUCCCCGGGCUCAACCUGGGAACUGCAUUCAAAACUGACUGACUAGAGUAUGGUAGAGGGUGGUGGAAUUUCCUGUGUAGCGGUGAAAUGCGUAGAUAUAGGAAGGAACACCAGUGGCGAAGGCGACCACCUGGACUAAUACUGACACUGAGGUGCGAAAGCGUGGGGAGCAAACA
rnacentral:rRNA from 1 species